GCCAGCAGCCAUUACACGUUGUACGAAUCAGUUCCCAGUGGAUCACUGAAGUUAAGCAACGUUGUGCGCAGUUAGUUUCGGAUGGGUGACUAUCGUAAAUCCCAAUUGACCUGUGUGAG
rnacentral:rRNA from 1 species